GAGGAAGUAAAAGUCGUAACAAGGUUUCCUUCCAGGCGGUGCAUCCGCUGAAGCCUCCCGCAGCGACUAUAAACAAAACGCGUCAGUCCGCCUCGCGGGCGACACCACGAUCCUACUGGGACUCCUGCAUGCAUCUUUGAUCAUGCAGGUACCAGUGGCCUGUGCAACAGGUUCACAGAUCAAACAGUGGUGGCCAUUGUGGUUAAGAUAUGACCGGUCUCCGCUGUAACCAGCCGGAGAGAACACGUUCCGUAGGUGAACCUGCGGAAGGAUCAUUACAGAGUUAGGGUCUUUUCAGGCUCGAUCUCCAACCCUAUGUGUACCUACCUUUGUUGCUUUGGCGGGCCCGUUGGGGCGACCCACCGGUGGCCUUUGGCUCCCGAGUGCCCGUCAGAGACCCAUCAAAACCUUUCAAUUGUGUCGUCUGAGUACCAACAUAAUAAUUAAAACUUUCAACAACGGAUCUCUUGGUUCUGGCAUCGAUGAAGAACGCAGCGAAAUGCGACAAGUAAUGUGAAUUGCAGAAUUCAGUGAAUCAUCGAAUCUUUGAACGCACAUUGCGCCUCUCGGUAUUCCGGGGGGCAUGCCUGUUCGAGCGUCAUUACACCACUCAAGCUCAGCUUGGUGUUGGGCCUUCGUCCCCAGUGGACGUGCCCGGAAAUUAGUGGCGACACAGCCUGGCUUCAAGCGGUAUUAAUUUUAUCUUCGCUUUGGAAGUCCAGGUCUGGGUCCGCCAGACAACCCUUUUGUAACAAAGGUGACCUC
rnacentral:rRNA from 1 species